rnacentral:rRNA from 1 species
GAUGAACGCUGGCGGCGUGCUUAACACAUGCAAGUCGAACGGUAAGGCCCUUACGGGGGUACACGAGUGGUGAACGGGGGAGUAAGAGGUGGGUAACCUUCCCACAACUUUGUGAUAAGGCUAGGAAACUGGUGCAAAUACUGGAAAUGUGCUCCUGCUGCAUGGGGGGGGUUGGAAAGAUCCUGGGGCCGUGGAUGGAUUCGCGGCCUAUCAGCGGGUUGGUGGGGUAGUGGGCUACCAAGGCGGCGAGGGGAAGCCGGACUGUGGGGGUGAGCGGCGACACUGAGACUGAGAGGCGGCACCGGCUCCUACGGGAGGCAGCAGUGGGGAAGAUUGCACAAUGCGCGCCAGCCUGAUGCAGCAGGGCCUCGGGCGGGAAGACGGCCUUCUGGUUGUAGACCAGUUUCAGCAGGAACGAAGCCUUUUGUGACGGUACCUGAAGAAGAAGCACCGGCUAACUACGUG